UACGUAGGGUGCGAGCGUUGUCCGGAAUUACUGGGCGUAAAGAGUUCGUAGGCGGUUUGUCGCGUCGUUCGUGAAAACUUGGGGCUUAACUCCAAGCGUGCGGGCGAUACGGGCAGACUUGAGUACUACAGGGGAGACUGGAAUUCCCGGUGUAGAGGUGAAAUUCGUAGAUAUCGGGAGGAACACCGGUGGCGAAGGCGGCGAUCUGGGUCGAUACUGACGCUGAGGUGCGAAAGCGUGGGGAGCAAACAGG
rnacentral:rRNA from 1 species